AAAAAAACCCCCACCAUCAUGGCGGGGGAAGACAGGGAUGUGUCUAUGGCAAGGAAAACAGGGAUACUAUGUUA
rfam:Pantoea vagans C9-1, complete genome.